rnacentral:rRNA from 1 species
GACGAACGCUGGCGGCGUGCUUAACACAUGCAAGUCGAACGGAAAGGCCCUGCUUUUGUGGGGUGCUCGAGUGGCGAACGGGUGAGUAACGCGUGAGUAACCUGCCCUUGACUUUGGGAUAACUUCAGGAAACUGGGGCUAAUACCGGAUAGGAGCUCCUGCUGCAUGGUGGGGGUUGGAAAGUUUCGGCGGUUGGGGAUGGACUCGCGGCUUAUCAGCUUGUUGGUGGGGUAGUGGCUUACCAAGGCUUUGACGGGUAGCCGGCCUGAGAGGGUGACCGGCCACAUUGGGACUGAGAUACGGCCCAGACUCCUACGGGAGGCAGCAGUGGGGAAUAUUGCACAAUGGGCGGAAGCCUGAUGCAGCAACGCCGCGUGCGGGAUGACGGCCUUCGGGUUGUAAACCGCUUUCGCCUGUGACGAAGCGUGAGUGACGGUAAUAGGUAAAGAAGCACCGGCUAACUACGUG